AUUGAACGCUGGCGGCAUGGCUAAAACAUGCAAGUCGAACGCGUGUAGCAAUACACGAGUGGCGAAAGGGCGAGGAAUAGAUUCCUACGUACCCCGGAGUCAGGGAUAACCAUCGGAAACGAUGGCUAACACCUGAUGAUCUCGAAAGAGCAAAGUUUACGCUCUGGGAGCGGGGAAUCUCCUAUCAGCUAGUUGGUGAGGUAACGGCUCACCAAGGCGAAGACGGGUAGCGGGUGUGAGAGCACGGCCCGCCGCAUCGGGACUGAGACACUGCCCGGACUCCUACGGGAGGCUGCAGUAACGAAUCUUCCGCAAUGCGCGAAAGCGUGAC
rnacentral:rRNA from 1 species